rnacentral:rRNA from 1 species
AGAGCGAACGCUGGCGGCAGGCCUAAAACAUGCAAGUCGAACGGACCCUUCGGGGUUAGUGGCGGACGGGUGAGUAACACGUGGGAACGUGCCUUUUGGUUCAGAACAACUCAGGGAAACUUGAGCUAAUACUGAAUAAGCCCUACGGGGGAAAGAUUUAUCGCCAUUAGAGCGGCCCGCGUUGGAUUAGCUAGUUGGUGAGGUAAAGGCUCACCAAGGCUACGAUCCAUAGCUGGUCUGAGAGGAUGAUCAGCCACACUGGGACUGAGACACGGCCCAGACUCCUACGGGAGGCAGCAGUUAGGAAUCUUGCGCAAUGGGCGAAAGCCUGACGCAGCCAUGCCGCGUGAAUGAUGAAGGUCUUAGGAUUGUAAAAUUCUUUCAGUGGGGAAGAUAAUGACUGUACCCACAGAAGAAGCUCCGGCUAACUUCGUGCCAGCGGCCGC